AGAAAGAAGUCCUCCCCAGUGGUGGCUUUGUUGCCCUGCUGAGCCCUCCUUAUCUGUUCUCUGCUAAAGUUAACCCGACAGUUGUGUGAUGAGCCCUAACAGAAAACUCUGAGCUGGUUGUUUUGCCUGAGGCUUCUCGCUGCUGCUCCUGUAUCUUCCUGAUGGCCAUUUCUCUUCGCAUAUCUGGAACCUGCAGAUCAGCCAAACUGUGUUUGUAAAGUAUUGGUGGUAGGAAGAUGCAGAAAUGAAUGCCCUCCAUGAAGUUUGGGGGGGCACAGUGAACCAGGUGGUGCCUGGGGAAGUGGCAAGAUUAUGGGACGUGAGCACAGAAUGAGUUGAUAGCUUACCCCCACUCCCUGGGGGCCUUGACCAAGUCAAAGCCUCUCAGUCUCAGUUGUCACUUCGAUAAAUAGGGUAUUUGGCAUCACAUAGCCUUUAAGUUCCUCCAGCUCCAGGAUUCUGUAACUUCAGGUUUCGUUGGAGGUUUACGUUCCAGAAUGUUUCUUAUCCCUCUUGGGAUAGAUAAAAACUGGUGGUUCCGCCUGCCACUGGUCUCUGUAUUGGUGCAUUUUUACCAUUAUUGGCUUGUUAAGUAACAUGUCUGUUUGAUUCAUGCAGCGUGUCUCCUCUGAUGGACAAACUGUUACCCUGCACACUUGAGCUGCUGGCAGUGUUCCUGGUAAAAUGUCAAGAGUAUUUGGCAUUCUGAGUUGCGCUAAUGUUAGAAAAUGUGCAAAACCUCAUUUGCCAGGGCAGUUGGCCACUUAAGAGAGUUUACUGUCAGCCUGGGCCAGGUGAGAGGCGAUAACAGGAGCCCCUGCACUGGGUGAUGAGAGACCUCGGAGAGCGUUUCCCUUGAAUCGCAUAGAGGCGUAGAAUGUGAGUAAUUAGUGUUGCUUUUUGAAGUAAAGUGUGACCUUUACAUUUUUAUUAGUGGUGGGUUUUGUCAUUCUUUUGGUUUAAAUAUAUGUACCCAUGUGCUGUCUGGAGGAACUGGUUUCAAGAAGCAAAUGAACCCUUUUUUUUGCUCUUUUUAGGCCCGCACCUGCCGCAUAUGAAGCUCCCAGACAGGGCUUGAAUCUGAGCUGUAGCUGGCCAGCUGUAGCCCGGCCUGGCUCAGGGGGUUAAGGAUUCCGGGUUGCUGUGUUGCUGUGAACUGCUGUGUCGGUCGCAGAUGUGGUUUGGAUCCCUGGUUGCUGCGGCUGUGGUGUAGGCCCACAGCUGCAGCUCCGAUUCGACUCUUAGCCUGGGAACUUCCAUAUGCCUCCGGUGUGACCCUAAGAAGCCAAAACAAAAAAAAAAAAAAAAAAAAAAAAA
rnacentral:lncRNA from 1 species